AGUACACAUUGCUUGAACUUGGAGUUGAGGCCAUUGACUUGGCCGAUGAACUCUCAAAGUGUUGGUAGUAUGCUACACGAUGAGUAACUUUUUCACUAACACAAGGGUUUCUGGCCCGAUGAGUGGAGUUUAAUAGUAAUCAUUGCUACAAAU
rnacentral:snoRNA from 1 species